AAAAAGAUCCCUUGCACGAUGCGGCGUUAGGAAAGAGACAUCGCUAUUCCAGAAACGGUCACACUUCCGUUGGUGCUGCUUCUGUUGCCCAUAUGGCUGCCAAGGUUAUCAUCUGUCUCGUCUUCGUACUACUUGGAUGCCUUCGUGUCAUUGAUCACAGCGGAGCCGAACGUCAGCCAGGACGUGGGGAACCGUCGGCACGGUAUUUUCAAUGUAGGACACCGUGUAUGACCAUGCACGACUGCCGCUAUGGUUGUGACUGCGUAAAGAUGUUCCGAGACGUCCCUGGCAAUUGCACCUAAUGGAAGUAACAUUUUUUCCUCAUUAUUUCCUCAUUAGAAGAAACAGUAAAUAUUUCUCGACCUGUU